rnacentral:rRNA from 1 species
AUUGAACGCUGGCGGCAGGCCUAACACAUGCAAGUCGAGCGAGCGGCGGACGGGUGAGUAAUGUAUGGGGACUGCCCGAUAGAGGGGGAUAACUACUGGAAACGGUAGCUAAUACCGCAUACUAUCGGAUAACCCAUAUGGGAUUAGCUAGUAGGUGGGGUAAUGGCUCACCUAGGCGACGAUCCCUAGCUGGGCUGUGAGGAUGAUCAGCCACAUUGGUACUGAGACACGGCCCAGACUCUUACGGAGGGAGCCGUGGGGAAUAUUGUACAAUGGGCGCAAGCCUGAUGCAGACAUGCCGCGUGAAUGAAGAAGGCCCUAGGUUUGUAAAGUACUUUAAGUCGGGAGGCGUUACCGACAGAAGAAGCACCGGCUAACUCCGUGCCAGCAGCCGCGGUAAUAC